CCCUUAGAUGUCCUGGGCCGCACGCGCGCUACACUGAGUGUCUGAGAUACGAGUCUGCCUGGUCCGGCAAGGUCUAGGUAAUCGCUAAAAGACACAUCAUGCUUGGGAUAGAUUAUUGCAAUUAUUAAUCUUGAACGAGGAAUUCCUAGUAAACGCAGAUCAUCAAUCUGCAUUGAUUACGUCCCUGCCCUUUGUACACACCGCCCGUCGCACCUACCGAUUGGAUGGUCCGGUGAAGCCUCGGGAUUGUGGUUCUUGCCGCUUUAUUGUGGCGUGACCGCGAGAACUUGUCUAAACCUUAUCAUCUAGAGGAAGGUGAAGUCGUAACA
rnacentral:rRNA from 1 species